GUUUUAAUUAUUAUAAUCUAACUGUUAAAAUACGAACUUGGAACUAUUAUCGAAAAUCUAGAUUCUAGAUGGAAAUUUUUUUAAUGUGACGUCACACUAGGGAGGGGGAGGUUUCACAAAUGUGACCAAUUGAAGAGGGGGUCAAAAAUCACGAAAUUCGUGUGACGUAAUUUAUGGAUAGUCCCCUAGUUUUUGUGUAAACUGUGACUUGUGUAGUGUAGGAUGGACUGUUCAGAAUAUAUUUUGGUGCUUAGGUACCAGUUAUACAGUGAAAUGAUUGUUAACUGAUGGUAGCGUGGACUCUCUAGGUCCUAGGUAUCGUCAUGAGCUAAUGGUAACAUGUAAACAGUGACUCGUGUAGUGUAGAGAUUGUCCAGUCAACUGAUGGUAGCGUGGACUGUCCAGGCGAUACGUACUUAGGUAUCGUCAUGAGCCAAUGGUAACAUGUAAACAGUGACUCGUGUAGUGUAGAGAUUGUCCAGUCAACUGAUGGUAGCGUGGACUGUCCAGGCGACAAACUGCACUGCCAUUAAAUGAAUUAUUUAAAAAUAUAAGUCUGUUUACCAUUUUAGGUAGCAAGUUUGAUAAUCUUUACGCCAAUGUAUGAUUCCUAUAUGCUGUAUAGAUGAAUUGUAAUUUAUUUUUAGGCCUUUAGGCAUUUAGGCAUGCCUAAAGAACUAUGGGAUGAUGACUCAACGAAAAUAAAUUAUUUCGACUUAUAAAACUAUUGGGCGAUUAACGAAUAUUACAAAUCGUGCGAGAGUGAUCUAGACGCGAAGGCGAUACGGUGCGGCGCGGCGCGAAAACAACAAACUGUCAAAAUGUAUUGACGUGGCCUACGUCACCAACCGCACGUGGGAUGCAGUGAGGCGAUAUAACGCAAACAAUUGGCUUGAUAUUGUCGCGCGAACUGGACGCGGUGCCGUCACGUGUUUGUUUAUAAUGUCGGAAACAGAAACAAAACGAAACGAUUUACAUGCACGUAGGACAUAGCCGCCGUCACACCGUAUCGCGUUGGAUUCGCGUGUCACCGCACUGCUUCGCGUUCGCUUCUAGAUCGCUCACGCAGGACGGCCCGGCAACGCACUUGUAACUCCUCUCGUGUUGCGGGUGUUUAUGGGCGACGUUGAUUGCUUACCAUUGAUGAAUAUAUUGAAUUUGUUGAGUUAUCAUUCCUAUCCCAGACAAAGUAUUAAUGAUAUUAAUUCCUAUCUCGAAAUUUUAGGUUGUAAGUGUUGUGAAUUUUGCAUGUAAAGCAAUAUCUUCCUAAUUUCCUAUUUACUGUAGUUUUAUUAUAUGUAUAUAGGGGUGACUGGUAAUUAGUGAACGAUAUUUAAACACGUGAUUGUACUCAUGAUUACAAACAACUUUCCCGAAGAAACUUUUUUUGUAUAAUCUUUAGUUUUAUUUUUAUCACAAUAAUAAAGCAACAAAAUUUCGUUAGCACGCGCGCGUAAAGUUCCAAAAUACCUUAGCUAUGUAGCUGUGCGAGUAAGAUGCGCAGCUCGAGUAUGCUAUGGCAUCGAUAGUAAGGAAGCUAUACAUAGCACACAUCUUUUAUCGUGUAACAUAUCAAAAUACCUACUAGUAUUCCGAUAACGCGGGCGCCUUGCAGCUAACAGCUGAUCAAUUUUGUUGUUUUGUUAUUGUAAUAAAAAUAAAACUAAUGAGUAUACAAAAAAAGUUUCUUUGGGAAAGUUGUUUGUAAUCAUGAGUACAAUCACGUGUUUAAAUAUCGUUCACUAAUUAUCAGUCACCCUAUAUACUUAGAUAUGUUAAAUAAUACCGAAUUAAUUUUCUUUUUUUAGUCAGUUAGAAAUUGUCCUGAUUGUACUUUUUAAUUGUUGAUCGAUAAUCAACUCUAUUUACUAUAGGAUAAGGUUGCUAAAUGCGUGUUUAGGAAUGUUUUUUUUUUGAGAGUGUGAAAGGAAUUUUGAUUGUAUUGCGUUUGUUAUUAAGGCGGAGAUUCGUAUAACGAAUUCGUUUAGUUCAAGCGAUUUUGAACUUAAAGAAAGAUUGUGUAAGUGGGAUUUUUGAGUGAUUAGUUUUUGGGUUGGUAUUUUUGAAGAGGAGUCGUAUGUUUUAUGGUUUUAAAAAUAUAGGAAAUAUCUACGUGGGAAGUCCCAUACAUUGUUUGUAUGCGAUUCGGGGUGAUUUUCCACCAGAGAUGUGCUAUGCUACAUUGCUGUGGAUGCGUUUUUUCCACCAAUCAUAUUCAUUGGUACACAUAGCUUAGCACUGGUGGAAACGGACUCAACUAAGCUAUAUUUUUUAUAUGGAAAGAUGCGUGUUAUGAAUGGCUUCCCUGCUAUCGAUACAUUGCAUACUCGAGCUGCGCAUCUUUCUCACACAGCUACAUAGCUUAGUAUCAGUGGAAACGGUCACAUAGUUUCACAGCUUAGCUAUUGCAUCUUCGUUGAGCUACUUAGCACAUCUCUGGUGGAAGAGCACUCUCAAACAUAAGUCAUAAAAAACAAUCCGUAUAAUUUCUAACUGAUAUUUUUAAGUUUUGAAUUUGACAUCGAUGACUACUACCCUUUCUAUUUAAAGUAAGCGUCCACAGGCCCGCAUCGCACGCAUUCCGUAUGACGUCAUCAGUACGCAUCGCAUGUAGGCAUUGCCGAUGAUGCGGUCCGUACGAUGCGGAUCAGUGGACGCAGUUGUAUGAGUUUCUAUACAAGACUAACUAAAAUCCGUUGCGUGCGAUGCGGGCCUGUGGACGCGUACCUUUAGUCGGAACCCUAUUACUAUUAAUUAUUAUUUUAAUAGUUAAUCAUUUUAAUUAUUAUAGCUAAGUUUUCUUUUCGGUUUUGACGCGAUGGUCUUAGUAUUUGAGCUGGGAAUUUCUUUUGUGUCGUGGGUUACAAACAUACAAGUUCACAUACACACGACACCCAGACCCGGAACAACAAUUUGUGACACCUUAAGUGCAGAUGUCAUUUUAAACCCAGUGCUACAUUUUAAAAUAUUUUCCCAAAAACUAAAGACUAUCGCGUAAAAUCAAAGAAAAUAUACAUUGGAGCAUGAAAAAGCCAUAAAUUAAAACGUUUUCGAAAUAAUUAAAUUAAUAAAUAACACAAAAUUGUUAAUCAUAUAAAAUUUUAAGCGAUUUGUCAAUUUUUGUGUGAGGGGUUGUAGUUUUGAAAAUAUCGGUUUGCGUAUUGUCCAGUCAACUGAUGGUAGCGUGGACUGUUCAGGCGAUACAUACUUAGGUAUCGUCAUGAGCUAAUGGUAACAUGUAAACAGUGACUCGUGUAGUGUAGAGAUUGUCCAGUCAACUGAUGGUAGCGUGGACUGUCCAGGCGAUACGUACUUAGGUAUCGUCAUGAGCUAAUGGUAACAUGUAAACAGUGACUCGUGUAGUGUAGAGAUUGUCCAGUCAACUGAUGGUAGCGUGGACUGUCCAGGCGAUACAUACUUAGGUAUCGUCAUGAGCUAAUGGUAACAUGUAAACAGUGACUCGUGUAGUGUAGAGAUUGUCCAGUCAACUGAUGGUAGCGUGGACUGUCCAGGCGAUACGUACUUAGGUAUCGUCAUGAGCUAAUGGUAACAUGUAAACAGUGACUCGUGUAGUGUAAUCUAUGUUUGAGUAUUCUAUUAAUGUUGUCAAUUUGAAGCCAGGUUUUGGAAAAAAUGCAAUUAAUUCUUCACAUGUCUAUCAUGUUGUCAUAUUUCAGUAUUUUCAAUCAAAAAUCAAUUCUAUUUAUAGCAAAAUUAAGUUGAUUUUUCAACAAACUUGUGCACUUAGUUUUUUGGCCUAAAAUUGUUCUAGACUUGGCUUAAUUUAAGCAUUUAUAUGUAGUUUAUAUCGAUGUGGAUUAUGGUGCUUAGAUAUAUAUAUAAAAAAUAUAUGUAUGUAUGUUUUUUUAUAGUUAAGACGAAAUAAUAAGUAAUCAAACAGUUUUGAGAACAUCCUGUGUAUUUAGUGUUUAAAAAAAAGUUUUUAAAGCAAGAAGCAAGUACAAAGAGGAGAUGCCAUAAUGUGAUUGUGCACUGUGACACAAAACACGGCCCUGUCCAAUGAUAUUACAAGUAAAAAGGUGUAGAUAGGUUAUAAGCUCAGAAAAUGGCACAUUAAAAUGUGGACAAUUGGCAACGUGUGUGUAGUAUGGGACCGCUAGAUGGAACAUAGAGAGGGGCGCGGUUUGUAACGUCCCGCGCUCCCCGUAAGGUGUCACGCGUUAUGUUAAAGGGAAAUCCAGUUAUGACAUCUUCUCUUUGUAUUUACUUCAUGAUAAAUACAGGCCUAUUUUAAGAGGAAAGAAGUAGAUUUCAAAAAGAUUUUUGACUUAAAAAUCACUUUAAACUAGUUCUUAACGAGAACGCCAUCUAGCGACUAAGUUUGGUAAACACUGACACGUUAAAAAUAAGCUUGUCUUUGCUAUUUUAAUUAUGUAAAACGAAAUUGUUAUUAUACCACCGAUAUAUUAAAAAAAAAACAGGGCGUUCAAACAAACUCUUUAGCUUUAUACUAGCGACCCGCCCCAGCUUCGCAUGGGUGCAAUGGUGAUAUAUUAUGCAUGUAUUAUACAUAUAAAUCUUCCUCUUGAAUCACUCUAUCUAUUAAAAAAAACCGUACCAAAAUCCGUUGCGUAGUUUUAAAGAUUUAAGCGUACAAAGGGACAUAGAGACAGAGAAAGCGACUUUGUUUUAUACUAUGUAGUGAGUAACUGACCCCCUUUCAAACACCUUUUAAACCUUAUCUGGACUUUCACAAGACCAAAAUUAGCAAAAUCGGUCCAGCCGUUCUCGAGUUUUAGCGAGACAAACGAACAGCAAUUGAUUUUUAUAUAUUCGUAUAAUAUGUCGGUGGUAUAACAUACAAUUUAUAGUAUAUUAUAUAUUAUGUAUAAUUAAUUAGGGCUUUACCGUUAUAUUUCACUGUAGAAUCUAUGUUUAGAACAAAUAUAAUGAUUGUUGAAUA